UACGUAGGGUGCAAGCGUUGUCCGGAAUUAUUGGGCGUAAAGAGCUCGUAGGCGGUCUGUCGCGUCGGAUGUGAAAACCCAGGGCUCAACCCUGGGCCUGCAUUCGAUACGGGCAGACUAGAGUUCGGUAGGGGAGACUGGAAUUCCUGGUGUAGCAGUGAAAUGCGUAGAGAUGUGGAGGAAUACCGAUGGCGAAGGCAGCCCCCUGGGCUAACACUGACGCUCAUGCACGAAAGCGUGGGGAGCAAACAGG
rnacentral:rRNA from 1 species